rnacentral:rRNA from 1 species
GUCGGCCUACGGGGCGCAGCAGUGGGGGAUAUUGCACAAUGGGGGAAACCCUGAUGCAGCGACGCCGCGUGAGUGAAGAAGUAUUUCGGUACGUAAAGCUCUAUCAGCAGGGAAGAAUAAUGACGGUACCUGACUAAGAAGCCCCGGCUAACUACGUGCCAGCAGCCGCGGUAAUACGUAGGGGGCAAGCGUUAUCCGGAUUUACUGGGUGUAAAGGGAGCGUAGACGGCCGUGCAAGUCUGAUGUGAAAACCCGGGGCUCAACCCCGGGACUGCAUUGGAAACUGCAUGGCUGGAGUGUCGGAG